rnacentral:rRNA from 1 species
ACACAUGCAAGUCGAGCGGUAGCACAGAGAGCUUGCUCUCGGGUGACGAGCGGCGGACGGGUGAGUAAUGUCUGGGAAACUGCCUGAUGGAGGGGGAUAACUACUGGAAACGGUAGCUAAUACCGCAUAACGUCGCAAGACCAAAGUGGGGGACCUUCGGGCCUCAUGCCAUCAGAUGUGCCCAGAUGGGAUUAGCUAGUAGGUGGGGUAAUGGCUCACCUAGGCGACGAUCCCUAGCUGGUCUGAGAGGAUGACCAGCCACACUGGAACUGAGACACGGUCCAGACUCCUACGGGAGGCAGCAGUGGGGAAUAUUGCACAAUGGGCGCAAGCCUGAUGCAGCCAUGCCGCGUGUAUGAAGAAGGCCUUCGGGUUGUAAAGUACUUUCAGCGAGGAGGAAGGCAUUAAGGUUAAUAACCUUGGUGAUUGACGUUACUCGCAGAAGAAGCACCGGCUAACUCCGUGCCAGCAGCCGCGGUAAUACGGAGGGUGCAAGCGUUAAUCGGAAUUACUGGGCGUAAAGCGCACGCAGGCGGUCUGUCAAGUCGGAUGUGAAAUCCCCGGGCUCAACCUGGGAACUGCAUUCGAAACUGGCAGGCUAGAGUCUUGUAGAGGGGGGUAGAAUUCCAGGUGUAGCGGUGAAAUGCGUAGAGAUCUGGAGGAAUACCGGUGGCGAAGGCGGCCCCCUGGACAAAGACUGACGCUCAGGUGCGAAAGCG